CCAGCUCUCUUUGCCUUUUGGCUUAGAUCAAGUGUAGUAACUGUUCUUCUUAGUUUAAUCUCUAGGACGUGCCUACGGGUACAUCUAGUGAUUAAACCAGUUUUUGGAAGCAGGUCGGCGGCCGCUGAGCACCGCUUAUGUCACUGACCACGGUGUCGCUCAUAUUGCACUGUCUUGGGCUGACGCGAACAGCA
rfam:Neofusicoccum parvum TCRNP2 chromosome Tnknown NP2_03_scaffold_219, whole genome shotgun sequence.